rnacentral:rRNA from 1 species
UGAGGAAUAUUGGUCAAUGGACGCAAGUCUGAACCAGCCAUGCCGCGUGAAGGACGAAGGCGUUCUGCGUUGUAAACUUCUUUUAUAAGGGAAGAAACCUGAGUUUUCUAAUUCAGCCGACGGUACCUUAUGAAUAAGCACCGGCUAACUCCGUGCCAGCAGCCGCGGUAAUACGGAGGGUGCAAGCGUUAUCCGGAUUCACUGGGUUUAAAGGGUGUGUAGGCGGGCUAUUAAGUCAGUGGUGAAAUCUCCGAGCUUAACUUGGAAACUGCCAUUGAUACUAUUAGUCUUGAAUAUUGUUGAGGUGGGCGGAAUACAUCAUGUAGCGGUGAAAUGCUUAGAUAUGAUGUAGAACACCGAUUGCGAAGGCAGCUCACUAAGCAAAUAUUGACGCUGAGGCACGAAAGCGUGGGGAUCAAACA